AUACGUAGGGGGCGAGCGUUGUCCGGAAUGAUUGGGCGUAAAGGGCGCGUAGGCGGCCCGGUAAGUCUGGAGUGAAAGUCCUGUUUUUAAGAUGGGAAUUGCUUUGGAUACUGCAGUGCUAGAGUGCGGAAGAGGUAAGUGGAAUUCCCAGUGUAGCGGUGAAAUGCGUAGAGAUUGGGAGGAACACCAGUGGCGAAGGCGACUUACUGGGCCGUAACUGACGCUGAGGCGCGAAAGCGUGGGGAGCGAACAGGAUUAGAUACCCUGGUAGUCCACGCGGUAAACGAUGAAUGCUAGGUGUUGCGGGUAUCGACCCCUGCAGUGCCGGAGUAAACACAAUAAGCAUUCCGCCUGGGGAGUACGGCCGCAAGGUUGAAACUCAAAGGAAUUGACGGGG
rnacentral:rRNA from 1 species